AGCUCCAAUAGCGUAUAUUAAAGUUGUUGCGGUUAAAAAGCUCGUAGUUGGAUCUCGGCAGCCAGGGGGCGGUUCGCUCCAAAGCGUGACUGCCCCAUUUGGCUGUGUGAUUGGCGGAGGUUCCGGGGUGCUCUUCGUUGAGUGUCCCGGUGCGCCGUCAGGUUUACUUUGAAAAAAUUAGAGUGCUCAAAGCAGGCUUUUCAGGCUUGAAUAUUCGUGCAUGGAAUAAUGAAUAGGAACUCGUUCCCAUUUUUUUUGUUUUCGGGGAUCCAGUUAAAUAUUUAAAGGGACCAAUGGGGGCAUUAGUAUUCAAACGACAGAGGUGAAAUUCUUGGACCGUUUGAAGACUAACUACUGCGAAAGCAUUUGCCAAGAGUGUUUUCA
rnacentral:rRNA from 1 species